rnacentral:rRNA from 1 species
GUGAGUCAUCGAAUCUUUGAACGCACCUUGCGCCCUGUGGUAUUCCGCAGGGCAUGCCCGUUUGAGUGUUAUUAAAUCAUCAACUCCUAACACCUUGUGUGUUCAGGUGCUUGGUCUUGAGGGUCUUGCAGGCGCUCUGCCGUUCUGCUCCCUUUAAAUCUAUUAGUGAGACUUCCCUUUGCUGACUGUCUCUUGGCGUGAUAGUUAUCUACGUCAAAUUUCGAUGGUCUCGUUGGGCUUGCUUCUAAUCGUCUUCGGACAAUCGAUUUGGGUGCAUAUAUGCACUUCAUUUCAAACCUUUUUAACCUCUAAAUCGGGUAGGACAUACCCGCUGAACUUAAGCAUAUCAAUAAGCGGAGG